CUGUAAUGUUAAUUCAUCAUGCAUACUUUCAUCAGCUAACCAAAGAUUCAGUUCUGCCCCAAAAUUCAUUAAAGACCCUCUCUCUCUUCCCCAGGAAAUUUCCUUCCCUUUGAUAAGAAAAGAAGGAAGGUUAGCACACCCUUUAACAUGACUUGCAAUUGCUUUGCUUUAACUAGCUUCAACUGUGAAAAUCUUCCAAGUAUAUUUAACAAAAUCGAGAUGGGUAUUGCUUCAAAAAAUAAUAAUAAUAAAGAUAGGUAUAUACAAGAGAUCCCUAUUCAGUUCAGUAGUUUCAUAUAGAUUAAUCAUUUUCUCUGACUUGUGCCAUUAGUAAUAUGUCAGAGUUGAUAGAACUUAUCGACUUGCUUAAUUUCCUUGGAAAAAAAGAGAAAGCCAACAAUAAAAUUGACACCCUCCGCAGCAUUAUGAUUUUAAGAGAAAAUUAACUUUUAAGAAUCAUAUACCCCAUUUUCCAUGACCAGCUUUUUGAUUUACUGAAGUUCUUUUUCUUUUCCCAAGUAGGAGCACUAGCCCAAUUUCCUUGAUUUUAUUUACAUUAGCUCAGCGACUGCUAGUUCACUUCAGAAUAACCAAAGAAUGUGCAAGCCCCAUGUAAGAGAUUUUACUAUGUGAUUACUUCAGAUAACCAACCUUCUAAUGAAUUUGCCCAUGCAAAUUUAGUGGCCUCUAAUCAUGGUAUAUUGCACUGGAUAACCAGGAAAAUGAUGCAACAUUGGCCUCCACUGGUGUUUUUAUCAAUUAUAAAGCAUAUGAACCAUAAGUAAGAGCAUUAUAAAAUCAAAAAUACCUGAAGGAACUAAUCUGACGAUGCCAGGUCCCUUUCACAAAACAUUAGGUGCAUCAUCUUCAUCAACCUUACCAACUGCCUCAAGAAUUGAUGAAUAAGUGAUGUGAUCAUAUUCAAAUCCAUUUGAAUUCAUCUCUUUCAUAAGCUUUGCAGCUUCCUCAAACAUACCAGCGCGGCUCAGACAGCCAAGAAGAGUGUUGUAAGAAACUGCAUCUGGCUUGGUCAUAGAAUGUUUCAUCUUCGUGAACAUUUCAAUUACCCGGUUGGGGCCAGCUGUCCUAGCCAAGCCAUUUAGGAUAAUAUUAUGAGAGUUUAUGUCUGGAGAGCAGCCAUUUUCUUCCAUGGUUCUAAGCCAGGAAUGAGCUUCAUCUAUCAUGCCAGCUCUCACCAGCCCCGACAUGAGAGCAUUGUAAGCAUACACAUCAGGUUUGCAUCCAAGUUUCUUCAUUUCAUUAAAAAGACCUUCAGCAUCAGUAAGACGACCACACUUCCCAAAAUGCUUGAUCAUUACAGCAUAUACACGAGCAUUUUUGCAUCCACAAUUCUCUUUCAACUCUAGAAAUAACUCAUUUGCAGCUUCAUAUCGUUUUGCCUUCCCAAGACUGUUUAUCAGGCUGCAAUAUGCAGCUGGACAAGGAGGAAAACCCUUUUCAUCCAUCUCUUCCAAAAGCAAUAAAGCUUUCUCAACUCUAUUUGUUUUGCAAAAGCCAUCAAUAAGAAUUGAGUAAGUAAAUGAGCUAGGAGUAACACCGUUUGCUUUCAUUUUCUCAAACCAUGAAACAGCCUCAGAAGCUGGAGCUUUGCAUUCAAAUAAAGCCUUAAUUACAGUAUUAUAAGUUACCGCGUUUGGUUUACACUGCCAAGCCCCCAUUUGGUUAAAAAGCCUACGUGCAUCUUCCAAACGACCUACUUUGCCCAGAAUAUUAAUCAAAUUGUUAAUGACCACAACAUCAGGCUUGCAGCCUUCCUUUAACAUAUCCAAGAACACACUGUAAGCAUCAUCAGCCUUCCCAGCUUUUCCAAGGCCCUUAAUCCACUCUGUGUAAGUAAAGACAGUAGGGGUGCAACCCUUAUUUUUCAUCUCCUGGAUCAAAUCCAAAGCUUUCUCAACCUUAUCUAACUUAAAGUAAAUUCCCAACAAGGUUGUAUAAAUCUUAGCAGUGGGAUGUAGGCCACUAUCUUUCAUCUCAUCAAACAACCUCAUUGCAUAAUCAUCUCGACCCAAUUUCCCAAAAGCUGAAAUAAGUGCACUAUAUGUUAUAGUGUCUGGAAAACAACUGCCUUCAUUACACAUCUCAUUGUAAAGUUCAUGGACCUUCUCAUAGUGGCCUUCUUGCAUCAACAUCGAAAUCAUAGAGUUAUAAGUGCUUGCCGUUGGUUUGCAUUUGCGACCUUUAAUCUGGUAAAAUACGGAUAGUGCCUUGUUCACCAUCUUGGCAUUGCCUAAUAUUUUAACAACUUCAGAUAAAUCAGCAGGACCCAUAAUGCAUGGACUCCUAACGAUAUCUUGGAUUGUCUUCCACAUUUCACCAUACAAUCUAGCUUCAUCCAAACAAUGGAUUAAAGCCAUGUAUGUAGUGGAGUCAUGCUCAAAGUUUCUCCUUUUCCCAGCCCACUUGAAAAACUGGAUUUUCACAUUAAUCUCCACAUCUAUCUUCAGAACAUCACGAAUCAACCGAUGAUCAACUUUCAGCUUUAGCACCUCUAAUGCCUUUUCAGCAUCAGGUCCCCACUUGAAUAUCUUCAGAAUCCUUAUGAAUCUCUCAUCCAAUAUCCGAACUGAAGUGUUCUUCCUCGAAAUCUUUGGAUGCAUGGGCAAGUUUUGCUUCUCAACCUUCAGACUGGGUAGCCGAAACAUUUGGACUAUUUCAUUUUCUGUUUGCUUAAUUCUCUGACAGAGACGAGUCCAAGUUGAUAUUGAUCGCUUUGAAGCAAUGGAUUUCACAACCAUCUUUGCCAUUUUCCUAAAACUCUUUGCACAGAAAAAUCGAGAUCACUUCACCAACUCCACGAGAAGACUAAUAUAACAUCACCUGCCGACACCACCAGAGAGAACCAAAGACCAUCAAACGUUGUACGCAAUUCCCCGAAAUUUUGCAAGAUUGAAACUUUAAAAUGAAAAUACUCCUGGGUCUGGUAACAGAGUUGUUGAACUAUUUCCAAAAACCCACAAUCACUAGGACUGCAAUGAUAGAGGGCCAAAUGAUUAUCUAGGUGGGGUUCUAGAGUAUCACAAGUGAAUUCCAAACUGAAACAAGGAGUACAAAAACCCCUUUUUACCAACUAUUUUUCCCUUCCUGUUCAAAAUGUUUUCUUCCUUCGUAAAUAUAGAGAAGGGCAGGCGGGAGUACCUUGAUGCCAUGUGAGGGAGCGAAAUUCUGAAACAAAAGCCAACAGCAAGAGGAACAGAUCAGCAGAACAGGUAAAUCCGUAAAGGUGGAAGAGUAG
rnacentral:misc_RNA from 1 species